rnacentral:rRNA from 1 species
GACGAACCGUGCGAACGUUGUUCGGAUUCACUGGGCUUAAAGGGCGCGUAGGCGGACUCGCAAGUCUGUGGUGAAAGCCCCCAGCUCAACUGGGGAAGUGCCGUGGAUACUGCAAGUCUGGAGGAGGGUAGGGGCAUCUGGAACGCUGGGUGGAGCGGUGAAAUGCGUUGAUAUCCAGCGGAACUCCGGUGGCGAAGGCGAGGUGCUGGACCCUUUCUGACGCUGAGGCGCGAAAGCCAGGGGAGCAAACGGG